GUGCCCGAAAGGGAAUUGGAACACAGGUGCUGCAUGGCUGUCGUCAGCUCGUGUCGUGAGAUGUUGGGUUAAGUCCCGCAACGAGCGCAACCCUUAUCAUUAGUUGCUACGCAAGGGCACUCUAAUGAGACUGCCGGUGACAAACCGGAGGAAGGUGGGGAUGACGUCAAGUCCUCAUGGCCCUUAUGGGUAGGGCUUCACACGUCAUACAAUGGUCGGUACAGAGGGUUGCCAAGCCGCGAGGUGGAGCCAAUCCCAGAAAGCCGGUCUCAGUUCGGAUUGCAGGCUGCAAUUCGCCUGCAUGAAGUCGGAAUCGCUAGUAAUCGCAGGUCAGCAUACUGCGGUGAAUACGUUCCCGGGCCUU
rnacentral:rRNA from 1 species